rnacentral:lncRNA from 1 species
AGUCGUCUCCAGCUCUUGCCUGUGCGCGCGGCCGUGGCUCCCCUGCCUGCGCGCUUCUUCGUAUCUUUGCCAUUACGGCGCUAAUGCAGUGCACGACUGAAGGUCCAGUGGCGGCCUACGACCUGCGAGGCAAUUCACACCAGGGACUUUCCUCCCUCCAAAACUAAUGGCACAUUCCAACACCAAUACACCACCCCAGGAAUUCUUUUUUUUUUUUUUUCCUUCGGACUUGGCUAUUAUCUGGCACAUUUCUUAUUUUAAACAACUUUAUUGGACAGGACGGAGCUAUUAUAAGCGGAGCGCACCAUCGCGAGGCAGGGGCUGGAUGCGUUAGGGCAAGCCUUAGGUGCCAGUGGGUGAAGGAGUCUUUGAAAGAUGGAAAUACGAAAGCGCCCUUGGAAAAUAAGAAUUAACUUGACGAACUGUGUGCAAGGGAGAGUUUGGCUUGCUGUUGGUUGCAGAGUUCACUGAACGACAACGGCGUAUUUCCUUCCUAGGGGACAAUUCCUUGCCUGUUUAAGCUGAGCGUGACUUGUGUCCUGAGUAGGACAGAGGGCAUUUUCCGGGCAGGACAGACUCACACAUAUCGUUCUUAGGAAAAUGAAUUGUUUGAAUUAUCUGGAUGAUUCAGACAAAACAAUCCAUUUCCCUAAAAGUAUUCAGCUACUUUUUAUAUAAGAAAAGUUUAGAACAAACUAAUAGUGUACUGGUAAGUAUUCAGGAAGAUAAGAGAUAGGAACUUCUAUGUAGGUUAUUCUUCUUUACUUCAUAUAUUUUUCUAUCUUCCAGUUGAAUAGUCCGAAGCAAUUCAGGCGUGAGCUUUUUGUUUUGUUUUGUGUAAUUUCAAUGACAGAAAAUUGCUUGCCCUUCACUGUUAAGGACUAGACUUAAUGAUUUCCUGAAUUUUAACGUAUUGAGAAACGCAUUAAUAAGCAAGAUUCACAGUAUUUGUUGUGGAGGUUGCACAGAAACAUUUAAAGGGUCAUCAACAUUUCACAAAUAUUGGAGCACCCGCCAAUGUGGUACUGUGCUUUUUCGCUGUGGUGGACGGGCUUCCUCCAUUCUAAAUUCGUGGGCUAUUGUCCUCAUUCGGUUCAUUGUUUUUCUCUUGUGUGUAACUUCCCUCGCAAGCCCUUUUGAAAACCAAAGUCCGAAUUGUGAGAAAAAUUCUAAUAGUCCCUGUUGUGGCAUAGCAAAGACACUGCAUGUUGCCUGUUUUGUGUUUGAUUCAGGAAGCAGGUUACUGUUUUCAAUCAUCAAGGUAGCAAUCAUCAAGGUAGAUGAGACAUCUAAUGAGUCCCCUGGUCUCUCUUUGGAAGCCUGUUUCUUCAGAAAGAGGUAACCGACUAUAAAGAGUAGAUGUCAGGGCCGAACUCGAUGUUGAGUACAAGCUCAAGACUCAAGUUUGAAAGAAGUAUAAAGCAUAUAAAAUAUUUUUAAGUACUGCAGAAUUAGCUUCGUGGAUAAACGGCUAUACGAAUUGGCAUAUCAGUUGUCCUUAGACAUCUUCCCACUGCUUUACUGCUAAAGAAUUGAAUUUUUUUUUUAAUUACACUUUAAGUUUUAGGGUACAUGUGAACAUUGUGCAGGUUGGUUACAUAUGUAUACAUGUGCCAUGCUGGUGCGCUGCACCCACUAACUCGUCAUCUAGCAUUAGGUAUAUCUCCCAAUGCUAUCCCUCUCCCCUCCCCCCACCCCACCACAGUCCCUAGAGUGUGAUAUUCCCCUUCCUGUGUCCAUGUGAUCUCAUCGUUCAGUUCCCACCUAUGAGUGAGAAUAUGCGGUGUUUGGUUUUUUGGUCUUGCGAUAGUUUACUGAGAAUGAUGAUUUCCAAUUUCAUCCAUGUCCCUACAAAGGA